GAUGAACGCUAGCGGCAGGCCUAACACAUGCAAGUCGAGGGGCAGCACAUAAAGUGGUUUACUACUUUUGGUGGCGACCGGCGGACGGGUGCGUAACGCGUAUGCAACCUGCCUCCAACAGGGGGAUAACGGAGAGAAAUUUCCACUAAUACCCCAUAAUAUCAGAAUCGGCAUCGGUUUUGGUUGAAACCCUCGGUGGUUGGAGAGGGGCAUGCGUUGUAUUAGAUAGUUGGUGCGGUAACGGCUCACCAAGUCAACGAUACAUAGGGGGACUGAGAGGUUAGCCCCCCACACUGGUACUGAGACACGGACCAGACUCCUACGGGAGGCAGCAGUGAGGAAUAUUGGUCAAUGGGGGCAACCCUGAACCAGCCAUGCCGCGUGCAGGAAGACGGCUCUAUGAGUUGUAAACUGCUUUUACAAGGGGAUAAAUCGGUGUACGUGUACACCGUUGAAGGUACCUUGGGAAUAAGGAUCGGCUAACUCCGUGCCAGCCGCCGCCGUAA
rnacentral:rRNA from 1 species